rnacentral:misc_RNA from 1 species
CUGAUUUAGCGAACCGAGCGUUAGCAAGGUUUUGCGAUCAUUUAUAUUUAAAACCCACUCUUGAAUGUAUAAAAUUUAUGUAUUAUAAUGAUAAAAUAAAGA